UUAAUUACUGGAAAGCAUGUUCUUCAAGCAAGAUCUACUGGAGCCUGAUGCCAGAAAAACUGCCAUGUGCAUUUUAUAAACGUGAGCAGAUAAAGUAAUGUUAAUGUGGAUGCACUCUCAACAAGAAAUACAAAUAUUCAGGGGUUUUGAUUGGCAUGUACUCAUCACCUGAAAAUGAAUUCAUCCAGUCGGAGCUGCUGCUGUUAAUUCUCUCUAAAACAUUGACAGAGAGCAGAUUUACAGUUGCAUGGGUCAACAGUUCACAGCCUCCUCCAAAACUCAACUCCAAAUAAGGGUACAUAAAAACUCCCACCGUUUGAUUUCUGUUCCUCCAAUGAGUAUAUAAACACCCCUGAGAUGAUCUGAGCACCAGUCCACACUGAUCUGAAGAAGCAACAACAUCUGUCACCUCAGGUGUACUCAAGUUUAAGACUCUUUCAACUCUCGAGAGAUUGUCUGGUCAAGGAAUCCCGCGCUGGUAUGGACUUCUUCAAAGCGGUGGGUGCGCUGGCGUCGGGCGUGGCGGAGGGAACAGUGGGCGUGGUCAGAGCCGUGGUGGACGUCCCGGUGGGGAUGGUGAAAGGAGCCGCUGACAGCAUUAAAGAAGCCACCAAUAAAAUAGACAGCGCCAGCUCACCCGGUGAAGGAGUGGAUGCCGUCUUCAGUCUGCUGGCGUCUCCAGUGACCGGCGCUGUGGCCGGAGGAACCAAAGAGAUCGUCAAAGCGCCAGGAAAAGUUGUGCAGAGUGUGGCUGACGGUGUUACGAAAGUUUUAGAUGACUAGUUGUUCUAAUAAACCUUUAACACUCAAAGCACCAUGCAGUAACUUUGAUCUGAGAAUCGACAUGAAAACUGAGAAAAAUUGAUAAGAAAAAAUAUCAUGUUUUAUACAAUAUUUUAUACACUCACAAGUAAUAAUAGCUUGACGAUGUCUACAAAUUAUUGUACUAUCAUAAAUCAGCACUGAUUGUUUCACAAUUAUGAGAGCUAUGCUAAUUAAACUAUAUGUCACACA